rnacentral:rRNA from 1 species
CGGCGUGCCUAACACAUGCAAGUCGAGCGAGGAGAUUCCUCGGGAUGAUCCUAGCGGCGGACGGGUGAGUAACACGUGGGCAACCUGCCUCAGUAGAGAGGAAUAGCCUUCCGAAAGGGAGGUUAAUACCUCAUAACAUUGCAGUUUCGCAUGGAACAGCAAUUAAAGGAGCAAUCCGCUAUGAGAUGGGCCCGCGGCGCAUUAGCUAGUUGGUGAGGUAACGGCUCACCAAGGCGACGAUGCGUAGCCGACCUGAGAGGGUGAUCGGCCACAUUGGGACUGAGACACGGCCCAGACUCCUACGGGAGGCAGCAGCGGGGAAUAUUGCACAAUGGGGGAAACCCUGAUGCAAGCAACGCCGCGUGAGUGAUGACGGCCUUCGGGUUGUAAAGCUCUGUCUUCAGGGACGAUAAUGACGGUACCUGAGGAGGAAGCCACGGCUAACUACGUGCCAGCCGCAGC